AGGGUUCGAUUCUGGCUCAGGAUGAACGCUGGCGGCGUGCUUAACACAUGCAAGUCGAACGGGAUCCAUCAGGCUUUGCUUGGUGGUGAGAGUGGCGAACGGGUGAGUAAUGCGUGACCGACCUGCCCCAUACACCGGAAUAGCUCCUGGAAACGGGUGGUAAUGCCGGAUGCUCCGACUCCUCGCAUGGGGUGUCGGGAAAGAUUUCAUCGGUAUGGGAUGGGGUCGCGUCCUAUCAGGUAGUCGGCGGGGUAACGGCCCACCGAGCCUACGACGGGUAGCCGGCCUGAGAGGGCGACCGGCCACAUUGGGACUGAGAUACGGCCCAGACUCCUACGGGAGGCAGCAGUGGGGAAUAUUGCACAAUGGGCGCAAGCCUGAUGCAGCGACGCCGCGUGCGGGAUGACGGCCUUCGGGUUGUAAACCGCUUUUGAUCGGGAGCAAGCCUUCGGGUGAGUGUACCUUUCGAAUAAGCACCGGCUAACUACGUGCCAGCAGCCGCGGUAAUACGUAGGGUGCAAGCGUUAUCCGGAAUUAUUGGGCGUAAAGGGCUCGUAGGCGGUUCGUCGCGUCCGGUGUGAAAGUCCAUCGCUUAACGGUGGAUCUGCGCCGGGUACGGGCGGGCUGGAGUGCGGUAGGGGAGACUGGAAUUCCCGGUGUAACGGUGGAAUGUGUAGAUAUCGGGAAGAACACCAAUGGCGAAGGCAGGUCUCUGGGCCGUUACUGACGCUGAGGAGCGAAAGCGUGGGGAGCGAACAGGAUUAGAUACCCUGGUAGUCCACGCCGUAAACGGUGGAUGCUGGAUGUGGGGCCCGUUCCACGGGUUCCGUGUCGGAGCUAACGCGUUAAGCAUCCCGCCUGGGGAGUACGGCCGCAAGGCUAAAACUCAAAGAAAUUGACGGGGGCCCGCACAAGCGGCGGAGCAUGCGGAUUAAUUCGAUGCAACGCGAAGAACCUUACCUGGGCUUGACAUGUUCCCGACAGCCGUAGAGAUAUGGCCUCCCUUCGGGGCGGGUUCACAGGUGGUGCAUGGUCGUCGUCAGCUCGUGUCGUGAGAUGUUGGGUUAAGUCCCGCAACGAGCGCAACCCUCGCCCUGUGUUGCCAGCACGUCAUGGUGGGAACUCACGGGGGACCGCCGGGGUCAACUCGGAGGAAGGUGGGGAUGACGUCAGAUCAUCAUGCCCCUUACGUCCAGGGCUUCACGCAUGCUACAAUGGCCGGUACAACGGGAUGCGACACGGCGACGUGGAGCGGAUCCCUGAAAACCGGUCUCAGUUCGGAUUGGAGUCUGCAACCCGACUCCAUGAAGGCGGAGUCGCUAGUAAUCGCGGAUCAGCAACGCCGCGGUGAAUGCGUUCCCGGGCCUUGUACACACCGCCCGUCAAGUCAUGAAAGUGGGUAGCACCCGAAGCCGGUGGCCUAACCCUUUGUGGAUGGAGCCGUCUAAGGUGAGACUCGUGAUUGGGACUAAGUCGUAACAAGGUAGCCGUACCGGAAGGUGCGGCUGGAUCACCU
rnacentral:rRNA from 2 species